rnacentral:rRNA from 1 species
GUCGGGAGUCUUGCACAAUGGGGGAAACCCUGAUGCAGCGACGUCGCGUGUGGGAUGAAGUAUUUCGGUAUGUAAACCACUUUUGCGGGGGGCGAAAAAAAUGACGGUACCCCGCGAAUAAGCCCCGGCUAACUACGUGCCAGCAGCCGCGGUAAUACGUAGGGGGCGAGCGUUGCUCGGAUUGACUGGGCGUAAAGCGCGCGUAGGCGGUCCAUUAAGUGUGCGGUGAAAUUCGGAGGCUCAACCUCCGUCCCGCCGCGCAAACUGAUGGUCUUGAGAUUGGGAGGGGGAUGCAGAAUUCCUGGUGUAGCGGUGAAAUGCAUUGAUAUCAGGAGGAACACCGGCGGCGAAAGCGGCAUCCUGGCUUAUAUCUGACGCUGAGGCGCGAAAGCGUGGGUAGCAAACGGGAUUAGAAACCCCAGUAGUCC